rnacentral:tRNA from 1 species
GCAAUUUUAGUUUAUUUAAAAUAAUAGUUUGUCUCACUAUAGAUAGCCUAGGCUAAGUUGCU